UCCCCGAGAUCAACUCUGGAAUUCCUUUGAUACUGGAAGUCUUGAGUAUGGUAGAGGUGAGUGGAAUUCCGAGGGUAGAGGUGAAAUUCGUAGAUUUUCGGAGGAACACCAGUGGCGAAGGCGGCUCACUGGACCAUUACUGACGCUGAGGUG
rnacentral:rRNA from 1 species